rnacentral:rRNA from 1 species
AGCGAACGCUGGCGGCAGGCCUAACACAUGCAAGUCGAACGAACUCUUCGGAGUUAGUGGCGGACGGGUGAGUAACACGUGGGAACGUGCCUUUUGGUUCGGAAUAACUCAGGGAAACUUGUGCUAAUACCGAAUGUGCCCUUCGGGGGAAAGAUUUAUCGCCAUUAGAGCGGCCCGCGUCUGAUUAGCUAGUUGGUGAGGUAACGGCUCACCAAGGCGACGAUCAGUAGCUGGUCUGAGAGGAUGACCAGCCACACUGGGACUGAGACACGGCCCAGACUCCUACGGGAGGCAGCAGUGGGGAAUCUUGCGCAAUGGGCGAAAGCCUGACGCAGCCAUGCCGCGGGAAUGAUGAAGGUCUUAGGAUUGUAAAAUUCUUUCACCGGGGACGAUAAUGACGGUACCCGGAGAAGAAGCCCCGGCUAACUUCGU